UACGAAGGGGGCUAGCGUUGCUCGGAAUCACUGGACGUAAAGGGCGCGUAGGCGGAUCUUUAAGUCAGGGGUGAAAGCCCAGGGCUCAACCCUGGAAUUGCCUUUGAUACUGAGGAUCUCGAGACCGGAAGAGGUGAGUGGAACUGCGAGUGUAGAGGUGAAAUUCGUAGAUAUUCGCAAGAACACCAGUGGCGAAGGCGGCUCACUGGUCCGGGUCUGACGCUGAGGCGCGAAAGCGUGGGGAGCAAACAGG
rnacentral:rRNA from 1 species